UCACUUCUAUGUCUUUCUUAUAACUCCAAAACCUUUCUGCCUUUGCCAUCAUCCAAGAACACCGAUCUUCCACCUUCCGGCACCGUCCUUCCGGCAACUCGACCGGCACCGUCCUUCCGGCAACUCGGCCGGCACCGUCCUUCCAUCUUUCUUAAUCGUUUAGUUCUGGUUCGUUCCUGUUCAUCCUUUCCAACUUUUUUCUCUUAUUUAUUCUUCUUUUACGUUGUUUCAAUGGCUGUUUUAGUUUUCUUUUGAUUGUUUUUUGGUGUGUUGUUUUGUUGAAUUAUUGUUCUUCUAUUAUGUUGAUUUUUUUCAAAUAUCGUUCUAUUUUCUGAAGGAGGAGAAGGGAUUUUUUUUCAAAAAUUGUGUCUUGAUUUUUUUCUCUUAUUUGAUAUUGAUUUUGUUCUCUUAUUUGAAAUCAUGACUUGCAAAUGAUUUUUUUUAAAGAGUCAUGAUUAUAAUGAGUACAUUAUUAACGUUUUUGCAAGAAAAAAUAUAAUAAUUACGAGGUUAUCAUUAUCAUUUCUUCUAGUAGAGAGAUUAUCUUCAACCAUCUUAUUGUAACCUUUGAUGCAAUGCAAAUUAUAACAUUUGUAAUGAACACAAGCUUUAUGAUCUUGUAGGAAAUAGCUCCAAUUAUGUAGUAGGGCUAUAUUUGUCAUUGUUUGUAUACCUUGAAAAAUAUAAAUUACAGAACUAGUUUUUUUGGAUUUAUGGACGAGUGCAUUCUCUUUUUUUCCCUCUGUGGGAGUUGAUCAAACCUUUCCCCCUAAAAUAUGGUUCAUUAUGCACAGACACUUGGAAGAAGGAUAUUAACCCAAGAUAUAUUGUAGAUGCAAUAAAUGAUGGGGCACCAGGAAAAUUAAGGGUCAUAUCUGUACACAGACACUCAUUUUUAUCAGUGCCUUAUCUUUAUUUGAACAUUAGUGCAGCAUAUUAUAUUGGAGUCACACAGACACUCAUUUUUAUCAGCGCCUUAUCUUUAUUUGAUACCAUGUCCACCUCUAGAACAGAAAACUGUGUGGAGCUACCUAUGGUAACUUCUAUUCUUUGUGGGGGUAGUCUAGCUUAAGUAAUUAAGUAAACAUAUUUCACUUAGAAAUUAUAAAGUGGUUUUUCUUCUUUUACUUAGGCAUAAAGUGAGUGGAAACUCG
rnacentral:lncRNA from 1 species